rnacentral:rRNA from 1 species
GGAGCGAAUCNAAAACCCGGUCUCGGUUCAGAUUGCAGGCUGCAACUCGCCUGCAUGAAGUUGGAAUUGCUAGUAAUCGCGAAUCAGAAUGUCGCGGUGAAUACGUUCCCGGGCCUUGUACACACCGCCCGUCACACCAUGAGAGUUGGGGAUACCCGAAGCCUGUGAGCUAACAUUAUGAGGCAGCAGUCGAAGGUAGAAUCAAUGAUUGGGGUGAAGUCGUAACAAGGUAUC